AAAAAUGAAAAUAGAUGAAGAAGGGUUUUCGCUUUUUAAAUUGGAGGGUAAAUAUAAUUUUUGCGGUUAAAUCGCUAAACUUUAAUGAGAAACCUCCCCAAAUCCACUUAACAAAAUAUGAUAGUGUGUAUUUAAAUUCUACCGCAGGCCUUUGAACUUGAAUUUCUGGCGCAUAAGCUGUUUUUGCACAAUUCUCUUACACUGGUUCAAAAGUUGAAAUAGCAGUACCCCAAAUCAUUCUAUUUUGGUUGUAAAUUUACUACAUGAAAAUUGGAAACUGUGACUACGGGAUCUCUGUCUAGGUAAAGCCAACGAAAUAUUGUGGGAAAAUUGACUCCAUAGCACUAUGGGAUGUAAUGGCUAGGAGACAAGACUUAUGGCAGAAUGACAAAUAAAAUCAUUGAAAAUAAUCCUUACUUCAAGUGAUCAUGCAUAUGGCGGAUGGAGGGAGAGUAUGUAUAACGUAUUUGUUGACCAAUUAUCUGUGCUGUGAAUUUUUGUGAAUCUGAAAAAUUGUCAAGAAUAUUUCGUAGCAGCUAAUCAUAAACUUUUACCAUCUAUUUGUGGAUGUGUGCUAUAGUUUCUCAGUUAAGUUGAAGGGAAGAUAACCUUGCCGGAGAAUUGCAGAGGACAGUUUAUGUGGUUUACUUGCUAGUUCAGCAAUGAAUACUGUGAAAAUCAAGUAAAAGGACGGGAAAUGGUUGCACAAAGGUUUUUUUCCGUUGAUGCGCAAAGGUUGAAUAACUUGGAAUCUGUCUCCCACUUCACUGAAAAAUAGAAGAAAGAAAAACUACAGUACAAGUUUUAACAGCUUAGACCACGGGUAGAGCUGAAAAUUCCAAAUGCUAAUUGUGUCAAGGUGCACAUGACAAACAUUUAGAUUUUUGUUGCAAAAUCUAUUUGUUGUCUCCGUUUGUUUUUGAAGUACUCUUUUUCGUUUGAACUCGAUAAUUCCAUUCAAAGUGUCAGUUGCUGACGGCUAUUUCAGGAACUGUCGUUGUGGUCCAUAGAUUACACGAUUUUCGUACUCAUUAGAAACAGAUAAGUUCCAUCCCGUUCGUUGACAAAAAUAGGAAAGCUGGAUCUUUUUAAUUUUUAUGAAAAUAAAGCAAAGUCAUCUAUCACCCUUUUCAAGUGACAAAAGGGUAAUCAUACAAAGAUUUAUUCUGUCUUGCAGAGACUAGGCAGAUGGAAUAGUCCAUAUGUUUUCUAUCGAAGGAGUUUCACUUAAAUAAGAAGAUGGAUCACAGUCAAGGAAUGAACAUAUAAAUGACAGGGGAUCUUGGAAAGCAUUAAUGAGAGAUCAACUGAUCUAAGGAUCUGAGCUUCCAUGGUUAACGUCAGCAGCUGCUCAAGACUUCAUAAUUUGCAAGCUUUCAUGUUCUACUUAAAUAGAUAAUCUGUAUCAUUACUGACCUGAAAAACAAUGUUGUGCUGACAGUAUGGACCUGAGAAUGACAUUGGUCCGACAAGGAAUACAUAUUGAGAUGGGACGAUCAUCGUUGAAGCUUCCACUUUACAAGCUGCUGCCCAUGCAUCUUGAAAUGCCUGUUUUUGAAUCACAAGAAUUAAAGAUUUCAUGGUUAGUAAAGUAAAUAUAUGCAUUUCACCUUCUAUUUUAUUUUUGAAAUCAGGUUAUUAAUAUGUACUAUCAGAUAUUCAUAACAUAUUCAGUUGUAAGUUAGUGUGAACUACCCUAACGAGAAUCAUUUUAGUGGGAGCCACCUCAUUUUUCUC